UGCCGCGUGAGUGACGAAGGCCUUAGGGUCGUAAAGCUCUUUCGCCUGUGAUGAUAAUGACAGUAGCAGGUAAAGAAACCCCGGCUAACUCCGUGCCAGCAGCCGCGGUAAUACGGAGGGGGUUAGCGUUGUUCGGAAUUACUGGGCGUAAAGCGCACGUAGGCGGAUCAGAAAGUUGGGGGUGAAAUCCCGGGGCUCAACCCCGGAACUGCCUCCAAAACUUCUGGUCUGGAGUUCGAGAGAGGUGAGUGGAAUUCCGAGUGUAGAGGUGAAAUUCGUAGAUAUUCGGAGGAACACCAGUGGCGAAGGCGGCUCACUGGCUCGAUACUGACGCUGAGGUGCGAAAGUGUGGGGAGCAAACAGGAUUAGAUACCCUGGUAGUCCACACCGUAAACGAUGAAUGCCAGUCGUCGGCAAGCAUGCUUGUCGGUGACACACCUAACGGAUUAAGCAUUCCGCCUGGGGAGUACGGUCGCAAGAUUAAAACUCAAA
rnacentral:rRNA from 1 species